rnacentral:lncRNA from 1 species
CCCUACUGUAGUGGGGAGGCCCUUCCAGAACCCUGCUUAUCUUCCCUUGGCUCUGGGUUAGUAGCCUGGAAAAGUCUUCCCCUCCUGGGUACUCAGGUCUUAGAGGAGCACUCUAGUUUAUGGAGAUAUCAAAGGCCAAGAAUCUGGACAAGUUACUGCCCUAGGAAUAGCUACCUGCGGGGAAAUACCCUGGAAGAAACUUGCCCUGGAAAAGUGACUCAGAGGAAAUGGGACAAACAAACCAUCCUGGGCCUGAGGAACUCCAGACACGCGGUAAACGCGAGACAGCACGAGAGCCAGAUAAUUGUAGUGCCCGGCUAGGCAGUCCCGAAGCUGAGCACAUCGCGCAAGAUCAAAGAGCGCAAGGUAACCAAGCCUAGCACGGGACACGCCAACCGGCGCAGAGAAGGGUCCGCUGCGCGCGAGCAAUCCCCAGCCUCACCCAAUCCCUUCCUGGUCCCAGAUCGGCACA